rnacentral:rRNA from 1 species
UACGUAGGGUGCAAGCGUUGUCCGGAAUUAUUGGGCGUAAAGAGCUCGUAGGCGGUUUGUCGUCGUCGGCUGUGAAAACCCGGGGCUCAACCCCGGGCCUGCAGCCGAUACGGGCAGACUAGAGUUCGGCAGGGGAGACUGGAAUUCCUGGUGUAGCGGUGAAAUGCGCAGAUAUCAGGAGGAACACCGGUGGCGAAGGCGGGUCUCUGGGCCGAUACUGACGUGAGGAGCGAAAGCGUGGGGAGCGAACAGG